rnacentral:rRNA from 1 species
AUUGAACGCUGGCGGCCUGCUUUACACAUGCAAGUCGGACGAGUGGCGAACGGGUGAGUAACAUAUCGGAACGUACCGCGUAAUGGGGGAUAACUAAUCGAACGAUUAGCUAAUACCGCAUAUUAUUCGAGCGGCCGAUAUCUGAUUAGCUGGUUGGUGGGGUAAAGGCCUACCAAGGCGCCGAUCAUUAGCGGGUCUGAGAGGAUGAUCCGCCACACUGGGACUGGGACACGGACCAUACUCAUACGGGAGGCAGCAGUGGGGAAUGUUGGACAAUGGGCGCAAGCCUGAUCCAGCCAUGCCGCGUGUCUGAAGAAGGCCUUCGGGUUGUAAAGGACUUUUGUCAGGGAAGCGGUACCUGAAGAAUAAGCACCGGCUAACUACGUGCCAGCAGCCGCGGUAAUUC